AAUGCGCUUUAGGCAUUAUAAUCACCUUCGGACUUUCCGAAGCCUACACACUCGACAAACAGUCGAUUCCAAAGGAAGUCUAAUCCUCGGAUUUCGAGGAUUCACUUCCUUACAUCCUCCCCACCUUAAAAGAGUUUCGUCCUCAAAACAAACUCAAUACAGCAAGACUUAACUAAAACUUCAGUUUCCAAACUCGUACCUUAAUUUAAUCCUC
rnacentral:lncRNA from 1 species